AAACUCAAAGGAAUUGACGGGGGCCCGCACAAGCGGUGGAGCAUGUGGUUUAAUUCGAUGCAACGCGAAGAACCUUACCUACUCUUGACAUCCAGAGAACUCUCCAGAGAUGGAUUGGUGCCUUCGGGAACUCUGAGACAGGUGCUGCAUGGCUGUCGUCAGCUCGUGUUGUGAAAUGUUGGGUUAAGUCCCGCAACGAGCGCAACCCUUAUCCUUUGUUGCCAGCGGUCCGGCCGGGAACUCAAAGGAGACUGCCAGUGAUAAACUGGAGGAAGGUGGGGAUGACGUCAAGUCAUCAUGGCCCUUACGAGUAGGGCUACACACGUGCUACAAUGGCGCAUACAAAAGAAAAA
rnacentral:rRNA from 1 species